CCUUUAGCUCAGUUGGUAGAGCAGGAGACUCUUAAUCUCUUGGUCGUGAGUUCGAGUCUCACAGGGC
rnacentral:tRNA from 1 species